GUACUCGCUUCGGCGGUACAUAUACUAAAAUUGGAACGAUACAGAGAAGAUUAGCAUGGCCCCUUUAAAAAAGAAAGAAAGUUGUCAGCACGACAGAAUCCCCUGCAGA